AAAUUGAAGAGUUUGAUCAUGGCUCAGAUUGAACGCUGGCGGCAGGCCUAACACAUGCAAGUCGAACGGUAACAGAAAGCAGCUUGCUGCUUUGCUGACGAGUGGCGGACGGGUGAGUAAUGUCUGGGAAACUGCCUGAUGGAGGGGGAUAACUACUGGAAACGGUGGCUAAUACCGCAUAACGUCGCAAGACCAAAGAGGGGGACCUUCGGGCCUCUUGCCAUCAGAUGUGCCCAGAUGGGAUUAGCUUGUUGGUGAGGUAACGGCUCACCAAGGCGACGAUCCCUAGCUGGUCUGAGAGGAUGACCAGCCACACUGGAACUGAGACACGGUCCAGACUCCUACGGGAGGCAGCAGUGGGGAAUAUUGCACAAUGGGCGCAAGCCUGAUGCAGCCAUGCCGC
rnacentral:rRNA from 1 species